AGGUUUCACCCAGAUGCUCCGAAGCCUUAUUACUACUACUACCCGUUUUCUCUCGGUCCACGCUCUUGCCUGGGUAAGAGCUUUGCUGAGAUGGAAGCUAAAGUGGUGAUGGCCAAACUGCUGCAGAGGUUUGAGUUCACGCUCGUCCCGGGACAGACCUUUGACAUCUUGGACACCGGCACUCUCAGACCCAAGAGCUGAGUGGUGUGCACUGUCCAACAACGGCAAUAAAUGGCCAUAGCAACGUCAUAAACAAGAAAAUAGUGAUACUUUUGUGCAAAG